rnacentral:rRNA from 2 species
GGGGAAUAUUGCGCAAUGGGGGGAACCCUGACGCAGCAACGCCGCGUGAGCGAAGAAGGCCUUCGGGUCGUAAAGCUCUGUCAUAGGGGAAGAGGAGAAGACGGUACCCUAUGAGGAAGCCCCGGCUAACUACGUGCCAGCAGCCGCGGUAAUACGUAGGGGGCGAGCGUUGUCCGGAAUUACUGGGCGUAAAGGGUGCGUAGGCGGCCUGAUAAGUCAGAUGUGAAAUACCAGGGCUCAACCCUGGGGGUGCAUUUGAAACUGUCGGGCUUGAGUGCAGGAGAGGAAAGCGGAAUUCCUGGUGUAGCGGUGAAAUGCGUAGAUAUCAGGAGGAACACCAGUGGCGAAGGCGGCUUUCUGGACUGUAACUGACGCUGAGGCACGAAAGCGUGGGGAGCGAACA